AGCAGUGUGGUGUAGUGGUAACAAGCAGGGCUCAUAACCCACAGGUUGCUGGUUCAGUCCCUAGGUGGGCCGCUGCUA